rnacentral:rRNA from 1 species
UACGAGGGGGGCGAGCGUUGUUCGGAAUUAUUGGGCGUAAAGGGUGCGUAGGCGGUUUGGUAAGUCUUAUGUGAAAUCUACAGGCUCAACUUGUAGUCUGCAUGAGAAACUGCCGGGCUUGAGUAUGGGAGAGGUGAGUGGAAUUCCUGGUGUAGCGGUGAAAUGCGUAGAGAUCGGGAGGAACACCAGAGGCGAAGGCGGCGACCUGGACAGGUACUGACACUCAACUGCGAAAGCGUGGGGAGCAAACAGG